CUUUAAAGUCUAUUUUAUCAGAGGCGAGAAUUGCAACUCCUGCUUUUUAUUUAUUUAUUUUCGCUUUCCAUUUGGUUGGUAAAUCUUUCUCCAUCCCUUUGUUUUGAGUCUUUGUGUAUCCUUGCAUGUGGGAUGGGUCUGGAUACAGCAUACCCAUGGGUUUUGGCUUUUUUUUCAAUUUUCCUGUCU